rnacentral:lncRNA from 1 species
GUGUGAUUGUAAACUAGUAAGGUCAGGAUCGUGUGAUUGUAAAGUAGUCAGGUCAGGAUCGUGUGAUUGUAAACUAGUCAGGUCAGGGUCGUGUGAUUGUAAACUAGUCAGGUCAGGGUCGUGUGAUUGUAAACUAGUCAGGUCAGGGUCGUGUGGUUGUAAACUAGUAAGGUCAGGGUCGUGUGAUUGUAAACUAGUCAGGUCAGGGUCGUGUGAUUGUAAACUAGUCAGGUCAGGAUCGUGUGAUUGUAAACUAGUAAGGUCAGGGUCAGGUCUAUUUUGUUUAAUGUGAUAUCCGUAGGGCCAAG